GAUGAACGCUGGCGGCGUGCCUAAUACAUGCAAGUCGAGCGAACGGACGAGAAGCUUGCUUCUCUGAUGUUAGCGGCGGACGGGUGAGUAACACGUGGAUAACCUACCUAUAAGACUGGGAUAACUUCGGGAAACCGGAGCUAAUACCGGAUAAUAUUUUGAACCGCAUGGUUCAAAAGUGAAAGACGGUCUUGCUGUCACUUAUAGAUGGAUCCGCGCUGCAUUAGCUAGUUGGUAAGGUAACGGCUUACCAAGGCAACGAUGCAUAGCCGACCUGAGAGGGUGAUCGGCCACACUGGAACUGAGACACGGUCCAGACUCCUACGGGAGGCAGCAGUAGGGAAUCUCCCGCAAUGGGCGAAAGCCUGACGGAGCAACGCCGCGUGAGUGAUGAAGGUCUUCUGAUCGUAAAACUCUGUUAUUAGGGAAGAACAUAUGUGUAAGUAACUGUGCACAUCUUGACGGUACCUAAUCAGAAAGCCACGGCUAACUACGUG
rnacentral:rRNA from 1 species